GACGAACGCUGGCGGCGUGCUUAACACAUGCAAGUCGAACGGAAAGGCCCUGCUUUUGUGGGGUGCUCGAGUGGCGAACGGGUGAGUAACACGUGAGUAACCUGCCCUUGACUUUGGGAUAACUUCAGGAAACUGGGGCUAAUACCGGAUAGGAGCUCCUGCUGCAUGGUGGGGGUUGGAAAGUUUCGGCGGUUGGGGAUGGACUCGCGGCUUAUCAGCUUGUUGGUGGGGUAGUGGCUUACCAAGGCUUUGACGGGUAGCCGGCCUGAGAGGGUGACCGGCCACAUUGGGACUGAGAUACGGCCCAGACUCCUACGGGAGGCAGCAGUGGGGAAUAUUGCACAAUGGGCGGAAGCCUGAUGCAGCAACGCCGCGUGCGGGAUGACGGCCUUCGGGCUGUAAACCGCUUUCGCCUGUGACGAGGCGUGAGUGACGGUAAUGGGUAAAGAAGCACCGGCUAACUACGUG
rnacentral:rRNA from 1 species